UCGGCUCUUCCAUUGGUGUUCGUCUCCAACCAUUUAAUCUCACUUAUCCAACCACACAAUCCAUCAUGUAUAUUAACCGUGUUCCACCUCAUAAUUUGUAUCUCAGUUUUCAAGUGCAGCAAUCCAUCAUGUAUAUGUACAUGAUUUUAUCCAACCAGAUUGGUUUGGCAGGAGCUAUUUGAACUUUGAAGCAGAUGGAGCCAAGUUCAGCAAGAUAUGGGUGUCGCACUAUAUUUCUACAUGGGAGAUUGAAGCGGAAAUUUGUCCCACGGAAGUGGAGUUGGUCGAGACUCGCUUGGAUAGAUCCAAGACUCAACACUAAUGGAUCUACUCGAGGAGACGAAGAACCUUGGAAAUCAUAUUAGAAGUAGAUUGCUUGUCAUUAAGUAUUUAUUUAUUUUGAGGAAUAAAUCAUUUCUGAGGAGGCAGACUAAAUUUUGAUAGCCAAAUUUUGUUGGUAUAGAUAGCGCAAGGGCAGCCAAUCUAUGUCCCCAGCAAUGUGUAGUCCAUCACAUCAUG